rnacentral:rRNA from 1 species
GACGAACGCUGGCGGCGUGCUUAACACAUGCAAGUCGAACGGAAAGGCCCUGCUUGCAGGGUACUCGAGUGGCGAACGGGUGAGUAACACGUGGGUGAUCUGCCCUGCACUUCGGGAUAAGCCUGAGAAACUGGGUCUAAUACCGGAUAGGAGCCAUUUUUAGUGUGAUGGUUGGAAAGUUUUUUCGGUGUAGGAUGAGCUCGCGGCCUAUCAGCUUGUUGGUGGGGUAAUGGCCUACCAAGGCGGCGACGGGUAGCCGGCCUGAGAGGGUGGACGGCCACAUUGGGACUGAGAUACGGCCCAGACUCCUACGGGAGGCAGCAGUGGGGAAUAUUGCACAAUGGGCGCAAGCCUGAUGCAGCGACGCCGCGUGGGGAAUGACGGCCUUCGGGUUGUAAACUCCUUUCGCUAGGGACGAAGCUUUUUGUGACGGUACCUAGAUAAGAAGCACCGGCUAACUACGUG